GUGGGGAAUAUUGGACAAUGGGCGCAAGCCUGAUCCAGCCAUGCCGCGUGUGUGAAGAAGGCCUUCGGGUUGUAAAUCACUUUUGUUGGGGAAGAAAACCUGUUGGUUAAUACCCGGCGGGAAUGACGGUACCCAAAGAAUAAGCACCGGCUAACUUCGUGCCAGCAGCCGCGGUAAUACGAAGGGUGCAAGCGUUACUCGGAAUUACUGGGCGUAAAGCGUGCGUAGGUGGUUCGUUAAGUCUGCCGUGAAAGCCCCGGGCUCAACCUGGGAAUGGCGGUGGAUACUGGCGGACUAGAGUGCGGUAGAGGGUGGUGGAAUUCCCGGUGUAGCAGUGAAAUGCGUAGAGAUCGGGAGGAACAUCUGCGGCGAAGGCGGCCACCUGGACCAGCACUGACACUGAGGCACGAAAGCGUGGGGAGCAA
rnacentral:rRNA from 1 species